CUCAGCCUCUCGACUAGAACUUCUAAAGUUGGCACAUUGACUGGAAGAAGCAUAAGAAACCACCUGGCGGAGCUGCCCUGAUUGAUGAGUAAAAUGCAACAGAUAUAGACAUAGAGAAUAAUUGUAUUAAUUCAAGGAUGAUGCAUAUGGAUAUCAGGUCAUGAGAUUUGAAGUAUUUAACCUUGGGAAGAAAGGAUGUGAAGAUUAUGAGAGCUCCAAUUGGGAGAGUGUUCAAGCGCGAGGGGGAAGAUUUCCAGCAGGGCAGCCGCAUACGGAAGAUUGGGCAGAGUCCUCGCAGAUGGCGGUGUCAGAGCAGGGGAGCCUGAAGAAGAGUAUAGAAGAAAAGCGACUAAGCAUUGCAGAUUUCCAGCAAUCAUGGGAAUGAACCAAUUUUUCUAUUGUGUGUAAGAGACAUUUUUAAUCACCUUUAUGUGUUCAAAGAAUAGAUUGAAUCAGUUAUUUUGGAAAAAUAUGACACAGCCUCUAAUCAUGCUAUUUAUUUAAUAACAAUUUAUUUAUAAAUACUGCUAUUAAAGAGUUCAUUAAAAAUGGCUCAGAAAGGUUAAAAAACAAACAGUUAUAAUAUUAAACGAGAUUAGUCUAUCAAUCUGUAAACUGUAGGCCUUUAUACUGAAAAUAAAUUAAAGAAAUAGUUUUUAAAAUUAUUUUAAAGCCUUUUCAUCACUUAGAUAAAGUCUUUGUUUUUUUGACACAACUUACCUUUUCAAACUAUAAAAAAUUUACAAACGCAAAGUUGAAGACAUGUUAUUUAGUCAAAAUAGUCCUUUUCCAAUGUCACUUCAGGUUUUACAAGGGGCCAAGAAGAACAGAUCUUGCUUUGUCUCAAAGGGAUUUUUCUCACAUUAAAAAAUGCUGACAUACUUUUAUCAGUUCUCGUGUCAUUUUUCCAAAACAGGUGUUUUAAGAAAUAUCAACUGAGUUCACAUGAAAUAUUUUGCCUUCUAGCUUCAGAAAACACCAGGAGGAUCUUUCUUUGUCAGUGUGCUUGACUGUGAAAACAGGAACUGGUGCCAACACUCCAAGGAAAAGAAGAGUGUUCUAGGAAUCAGAGCGAAUAUUCUCACCCCAGUUCUACUAUUGAAAGGAAAACUGUAUUCAAGCCAAAUAAUAGUAUGACCUUCAGUAGGCUGAUAGUGUUUUAUCAU
rnacentral:lncRNA from 1 species